ACACCCGCGGGGGACACGCGGGAUGCACGCGGGUUUUUGUGCGGGGCUCGGGGGCCGUGACGGAGAGACCCAGUACUUCGGGCCCGGCACGCGGCUCCUGGUGCUAGAUGACCUGAAAAGGGUGAAGCCGCCCACAGUCACUGUGUUCGAACCAUCGGAAGCAGAGAUCGCCCGCACCCAAAAGGCCACGCUCGUGUGCCUGGCCACAGGCUUCUACCCUGACCAUGUGGAGCUGAGCUGGUGGGUGAAUGGCAAGGAGGUCAAGAGUGGGGUCAGCACAGACCCUCAGCCCUACAAGGAGCACCCCAACAGCACUGACUCCAACUACUGCCUGAGCAGCAGGCUGAGGGUCUCCUCCACCUUCUGGAACAACCCCCGCAACUACUUCCGCUGCCAAGUCCAGUUCUAUGGGCUGGACAGCAAUGGCACUUGGGAGGAGAAGGAUGGUCCCAAGCCCACCACCCAGAACAUCAGUGCUGGGGCCUGGGGCAGAGCAGACUGUGGCAUCACCUCGGUGUCCUAUCAGCAAGGGGUCCUGUCUGCCACCCUCCUGUAUGAGAUCCUGCUGGGGAAGGCCACCGUGUAUGCAGUGCUGGUCAGCGCCCUGGUGCUGAUGGCCAUGAUCAAGAAAAAGGAUUCCUGAAACCAGUUCCAAAAGCACAUCCAGAGUCAUUCUUAAUCCUCGCCCGAGGUUCACCUGUAUGUGCUUCCAGUCUGUUCCUAAGAGGGUACUCUCUCUCUGCCUCUCAUCUCCUUCCUACACAGACACCUGUCCCUUCUCUCUGGGUCGCUGCAGACUGAGCCCCUCCACCCUGGAUCUAAAUAGAUUAAGCCAAUAAAAAUGUUGUGCUGGA